rnacentral:rRNA from 1 species
ACAGGGAAGAGCCCAGCACCAAGGCCCGCGGCCGGAGACGGCCGCCGGGCGAUGCGGUGUUUGGGAGGGCCCGCUGACCCGGGCGCGCGCGACGAGUCCAAGUCCUUCUUGAACGGGGCCGAACGCCCAGAGAGGGUGCCAGGCCCGUGGUGACCGUCGCCGAGUCCGGGUGGGUCUCUCCUUAGAGUCGGGUUGCUUGAGAGUGCAGCCCUAAGUGGGUGGUAAACUCCAUCUAAGGCUAAAUAUUACCACGAGACCGAUAGCGAACAAGUACCGUGAGGGAAAGUUGAAAAGAACUUUGAAGAGAGAGUUCAAGAGUACGUGAAACCGUUCAGGGGUAAACCUGAGAAGGCCGAAAGGUCGAAGCGGCAGAUUCAACCGCCUCGCCGGUCGUGGCCGCCCGUCGGCGUUCACGGGACGGGGUGCGCGCACCGCGGUUCGCCGCGUGUGCGCUGCGCUUCCNCCCCGCCGACGGUGCUCGGUCCGCGGCCGGAGGCGUGCACUUCUGCCGUUGUAGGACGUCGCGACCCGUUGGGUGCCGGCGUCGGGCCCGCACGGGAGCCCGGAGCGGGGCGCGGGUGACCGCGUCGCUGCCGUUCCGGACCGGCGGUGCGUGCGGCCGACGCGCGCGCGCGUCCCUCACGGGGCGCGCGUCAGCGUGCUUGGCCGCGACCCGGCCGGCCGCCCGACGGUAGCAGAGUGUCAGGCGAGCGCGUUAAUCGCGUCCAGGGCGCGCGGCAAGCGUGUGCGCGGCGAACGCGCGCGUCCUUCGGGGCGCGCGCGGCGGAAACCGGACCUGGUGCCGGUCCCGCGCCCGCACCGCUGCUGGCCGCGCGACACACCUCGGACGGCGUGCCGCCUGCGUCGGCGACGCUUCAGCUUUGGCCACUCUCAGGACCCGUCUUGAAACACGGACCAAGGAGUCUAGCAUGUGCGCGAGUCAUUGGGUCGACCGAAACCCACAGGCGCAAUGAAAGUGAAGAGCGGUCCGCGCUGCACGCGUCCCUCGUGGUCGCUGUGCGCGCGGCCGCCGCGGGAGGAUGGCCCGGCGCGCCCGCCCUCGGGCGCGGCGUCAGCCGGGCCCGCACUCCCGGGGCGUCCCGGGUCUCGCUCGCGCGAGACGGGGCGCACCAUGAGCGCACACGCUGGGACCCGAAAGA